rnacentral:snRNA from 1 species
AUGUUGUGUUAGUUUCUGCUGUAUAAAUCUUUCGCCUUUUACUAAAGAUUUCUGUGGAAAAGAACAGAAACAGUUAUCUUUCAAAGUAACUUAAAAACAAGAAAAAUGUUUAU